rnacentral:rRNA from 1 species
AGUGAACGCUGGCGGUAGGCCUAACACAUGCAAGUCGAACGGCAGCACAGUAAGAGCUUGCUCUUACGGGUGGCGAGUGGCGGACGGGUGAGGAAUACAUCUGAAUCUACUUUUUCGUGGGGGAUAACGUAGGGAAACUUACGCUAAUACCGCAUACGACCUACGGGUGAAAGCAGGGGAUCUUCGGACCUUGCGCGAUUGAAUGAGCCGAUGUCGGAUUAGCUAGUUGGCGGGGUAAAGGCCCACCAAGGCGACGAUCCGUAGCUGGUCUGAGAGGAUGAUCAGCCACACUGUAACUGAGACACGGUCCAGACUCCUACGGGAGGCAGCAGUGGGGAAUAUUGGACAAUGGGCGCAAGCCUGAUCCAGCCAUACCGCGUGGGUGAAGAAGGCCUUCGGGUUGUAAAGCCCUUUUGUUGGGAAAGAAAAGCAGCAGGUUAAUACCCCGCUGUUCUGACGGUACCCAAAGAAUAAGCACCGGCUAACUUCGUG